UGGGGAAUAUUGGGCAAUGGGCGAAAGCCUGACCCAGCAACGCCGCGUGAGUGAUGAAGGUCGUAAGAUCGUAAAACUCUUUUCAGGGAUCUUAAAGCCUGUCUGUCAACAACAGGCAGGUCUGACUCUCCCUGGAAGAAGCCCUAGCCAACUACGUGCCAGCAGCUGCGGUAAUACGUAGGUGGCGAGCGUUAUUCGGAAUUACUGGGUGUAAAGGGUACGUAGGCGGCCCUUCAAGUCGCGUGUCAAAGUCCAGUGCUCAACGCUGGGUGUGCGCGCGAUACUGACGGGCUUGAGGGCUGGAGAGGUGAGCGGAAUUCCCGGUGUAGUGGUAAAAUACGUAGAGAUCGGGAGGAACACCAGCGGCGCAGGCGGCUCACUAGACAGUUUCUGACGCUAAGAUACGAAAGCGUGGGGAGCAAACA
rnacentral:rRNA from 1 species